UUAGUGGUGGGGGAAAAGAGCGUCUGCUCUGUCUUAAGAUGGGCCUGCGUCUUAUUAGUUAGUAGGUGGGGUAAAGGCCUACCUAGGCGAUGAUAAGUAGCCGGCCUGAGAGGGUGGACGGCCACACUGGGACUGAGACACGGCCCAGACUCCUACGGGAGGCAGCAGCUAAGAAUCUUCCGCAAUGGGCGAAAGCCUGACGGAGCGACGCCGCGUGAACGAAGAAGGCCGAGAGGUUGUAAAGUUCUUUUCUUGCUGAAGAAUAAUACAAAGAGGAAAUGCUUUGUAGAUGACGUUAAGCAAGGAAUAAGCCCCGGCUAAUUACGUGCCAGCAGCCGCGGUAACACGUAAGGGGCGAGCGUUGUUCGGAUUUAUUGGGCGUAAAGGGCAUGUAGGCGGUUGUACAAGCCUGGUGUGAAAGACCCCAGCUUAACUGGGGGAACGCGCUGGGAACUGUAAGACUAGAGUUCAAGAGGGGAAGCUGGAAUUUCUGGUGUAGGGGUGAAAUCUGUAGAUAUCAGAAAGAACACCGGUGGCGAAGGCGAGCUUCUGGCCAUGAACUGACGCUGAGGUGCGAAAGCGUGGGUAGCAAACAGGAUUAGAUACCCUGGUAGUCCACGCUGUAAACGAUGUACACUAGGUGUUUUGGGGUUACCUGAAGUGCCGUAGCUAACGCGUUAAGUGUACCGCCUGGGGAGUAUGCUCGCAAGGGUGAAACUCAAAGGAAUAGACGGGGGCCCGCACAAGCGGUGGAGCAUGUGGUUUAAUUCGAUAUACGCGAGGAACCUUACCAGGGCUUGACAUAUAGUGGACCGCUUUAGAGAUAAAGCCUUCUCUUUGAGACUGCUAUACAGGUGCUGCAUGGUUGUCGUCAGCUCGUGCUGUGAAGUGUUGGGUUAAGUCCCGCAACGAGCGCAACCCUUUCUGUCUGUUACCAUCAGGUUAUGCUGGGGACUCAGACGGUACUGCCGGUGACAAACCGGAGGAAGGUGGGGAUGACGUCAAAUCAUCAUGGCCCUUAUGUCCUGGGCUACACACGUGCUACAAUGGCGCAUACAGAGUGACGCGAGACCGCGAGGUGGAGCAAAUCACAGAAAGUGCGUCUCAGUACAGAUUGGAGUCUGAAACUCGACUUCAUGAAGGUGGAAUCGCUAGUAAUCGCGCAUCAGCAUGGCGCGGUGAAUACGUUCCCGGGCCUUGUACACACCGCCCGUCACACCACCCGAGUUGGGGGUACCCGAAGUUGCUAGUCUAACCAUUUACUUGGAGGACGGUGCCGAAGGUAUGCUUAGUAAGGGGGGUGAAGCCC
rnacentral:rRNA from 1 species